GAAAUUUCACAUCAGUGUCAGUGUCACCCACGGUGCAUUGUGAACAUUGCAGUGAGGUGAAACAUCACACACAAACGAACACAACGGGUGGGGCGCACUGCACAGCACAGCCAUCAGGUGUGGGGGCUUGUCCACCCAGAGAUCUCAACAAAAGGUAGUUAACCGAAAUGCUUUCUUAAGGAGACAGCAACCGAAAUCAUGGAGUUGGCGUGUGCUUCCGACCUUUCACCACACUUGUCCUGGCCGGCGAUCGAGCGCCCGUGGAACGCGAACACACACACACCCCACCUACAGGCCUCGAUGCGUAAAGGGGGUCGCCCAUUUCGCUUCCAAUCUGUUGAGACGUCGCCUUACCACACACCCCAAGUAACCAGCCGGCCACUAACGAUUCUCCUCUGCCUUUCGCGCCACAAAAGGAGCCAAAAGCUUCGACGCACUACCACCCACCUACUGCUCAUCAAAAUUUCUCUCAAUAAUAUGCAAUCCUAAGCUCUAGUAGCAUGUAUAGCAACCACUGGAUUCCAUCCAAGAUUCCAUAUAUCGCCUUGUACCAACAGGUACUGUACUGCCGACGCGCAUUGCAUCGCAUAUUUGCAUGGCAUUCACAACUGAAAGCGGCAUGAGAUAUAAUCUUAUCUUUUCGCCAAUACUUAUACUUAUGUGUUAAAAUUUAAAUUUUAAAAACUUAAUUUUAAAGUUAAUUUUGUGGGUUUUUUUUAUCAUAGUUUACUUGGUUUUGAGUAACUAAGGAUACGUAUAUCAAAGUUCUACUCACAUAUUAUUUCUUGUGUGUUAAUAAGAGAGACAAAUAAGCAUACGCUAUAAUUUAGGAAUUGGGGAAGGGAAUUGAAUGGAUCAGUGUGUGAAGGGCAUAUUAGUUUGAGCGGAUCACCUGUCCCAGGACGGCGUUGGGGAUCUUGGCCAUGAAGGCGUCCUGGAGGUCCUUCCCCAUGGGGGCGGCGCCGGACAUAACCAUGCGGAUGGAGGCGAGGUCGUCGG
rnacentral:lncRNA from 1 species